AGGAAUAGAGGGCAAGAAAGCAUUUAUCGACAUAGUAUCUAACUCCCUGCCUCAGGUUUCCAGCUUACUAUCCAGGCUGACUGUCAUCAGCAGCAGAGAAUGGCAGAAUAACUAGGAAAACAAACAAACUAACAACAAACAAAAAACAGAUAACUUUGUAAUUCCCAUAUUCCUUCUUACAGAAAUGAAAUAUUCCUUCACACAGGAAUGAAAUGCCCGCCCCUUGGGGCCUGGGACAGAAAGGAUCUCUUGGGGCCCUGCUGAAAUGGAAAGAAAUAGAUGAUUACAGGAAGAGGCAAGAGACAUAUGAGGUUUUACUCUUUCUGAAAAUGAAGACUUACAAGCAAACUGACAAAGGUUCGGAACUUUACUAAAAAAAGAGAAGAGAAGAGAAGAGAAGAGAAGAGAAGAGAAGAGAAGAGAAGAGAAGAGAAGAGAAGAAUACUAAAAUCUGGGACAAGUCCUAGUUCAUUGUUUUAUUGGAUACAUAAUUAUAUUCCUGUGUUCCCUGCUGUAAAAUGUCCCAGGAUUGUGUUUGCUAUUCAUCACUCAGGAGGAAAGUCUUUCUCCAGUAGCCCCUUUGUAACAUUCAUUGUGUCCAACCAAGCAUUUACUUCUUCCAAAAGACUGCACUCCUUUUUCUCGCCUUUGCAUAAGGUCAUGCAAACCUACCUAGGUCUACGACCAUUGCCAAGCAGCUGUCACACAGAACUUCAUGCAAGACAAAUCCGCAAAGUAGAAUACCGAGAUUAGAUUUGGGCUCUAAUGUGCUCCUGUGUAACCCAAAUCUGUAGAUGCAGUCUGCUUUGUAGGCUAUUUCUCAAUACUUCCCUCCUUUUGAGUACCUGCUGCAGAUUACCUAUCAGGCAACUGCAUUUUGUUUAUAGUCAAAUGGAUCUCUGUAUAAUAGUCAGUUUAAGUAAUAAAGUGGGAUCUUUAGCUGAUAAAAGCACUUUGUGAAUGACAGAGAAUAGCAAAAACAUCAUAACAAAGGACAUAGUAAUAAGAUCAUGAACACGCACGAUAAGCAGUAGAACAACUAAGGAAUAGAAUAGCAUCUUUAUCAUUCAUCUUUUCUAUGGAGAAGAUAGAGAUAACAGACAUUCCUUUGUAAUCUGGAAAUUAAAACUGAGGAAAUAGCUGCAAGAAGCAUUGUUACUGAAAUGAAACGGAGAAGGUCCUGGUGAGACAGGGUCAUUAUACUGCAAACAGAAGGAGAAGGAAGAAAUGAUACGACUACUGUGGGUGUUUCUCUGAAUAAAAAAAAAUAAUAAAAAAAUUAAAUCUUCAUCAUCAUCAUACCUAUUCAUCUCUUGAUGCUGAGUGAAUUCAACAAAGUCAUAAAUAACAGAAAAAUGCAGUGAACUGAUGCACACCCUCUUUCAAGCCCCCUGACCCACCCACGAUAAAGUAAAUAAAUAUUCCCUGUAAUAUGGAGGUUGCUCC